UUAGCAAUCUUGCCGAAUCCUAUUUAGGUACGGAGGAUUUUUCAUGUUUGGGGUUAAUCUGCCAGAGGCAGUAGGGAUACCUUCUAUUCCGCACCCGUCAACUAACUCCGGAGGCAAAAGGAAGGAGAUUA
rnacentral:sRNA from 2 species